UGAGAUCAUGAUCUGAGCCAAAGUCAAGAGUUGAAUGCUUAACUGACUAAGCCACCCAGGCGCCUCCAGUAAAGCUUUUUCUAUAACGCACUCCCAGCGCUUAUCAUAGAAUUGGGAGCAACUUCAAGACUCUGCAGUGUUAACUGGGGGUUACCACGGAUGCCGAUGAUCACUACCACAUUGGAUAUGGUCUUGUUUGUGUUGUAU
rnacentral:lncRNA from 12 species